rnacentral:rRNA from 1 species
UACAGAGGUCUCAAGCGUUGUUCGGAUUCAUUGGGCGUAAAGGGUGUGUAGGUGGCGCGCUAAGUCGGGUGUGAAAUUUCGGAGCUUAACUCCGAAACUGCAUUCGAUACUGGCGUGCUUGAGGACUGGAGAGGAGACUGGAAUUCAUGGUGUAGCAGUGAAAUGCGUAGAGAUCAUGAGGAAGACCAGUGGCGAAAGGC